rnacentral:sRNA from 1 species
CCCACAGAAUCUGAUUGCCCAGUCUCAGUCUGGCACUGGUAAAACAGCUGCCUUUGUCUUAGCCAUGCUCAGCCGAGUGGAGCCAUCAGACAGAUACCCCCAGUGUCUGUGCCUUUCCCCAACAUAUGAGCUGGCGCUUCAAACAGGAAAAGUGAUUGAGCAGAUGGGCAAAUUUUACCCAGAACUGAAACUUGCCUAUGCCGUUCGAGGCAAUAAAUUGGAAAGAGGCCAGAAGAUCAGUGAGCAGAUUGUCAUUGGCACCCCUGGGACCGUGCUGGACUGGUGCUCCAAGCUCAAGUUCAUUGAUCCCAAGAAAAUCAAGGUGUUUGUUCUGGAUGAGGCUGAUGUCAUGAUAGCCACUCAGGGCCACCAAGAUCAGAGCAUCCGCAUCCAGAGGAUGCUGCCCAGGAACUGCCAGAUGCUGCUUUUCUCUGCCACCUUUGAAGACUCUGUGUGGAAGUUUGCCCAGAAAGUGGUCCCAGACCCAAACGUUAUCAAACUGAAGCGUGAGGAAGAGACCCUGGACACCAUCAAGCAGUACUAUGUCCUGUGCAGCAGCAGAGACGAGAAGUUCCAGGCCUUGUGUAACCUCUACGGGGCCAUCACCAUUGCUCAAGCCAUGAUCUUCUGCCAUACUCGCAAAACAGCUAGUUGGCUGGCAGCAGAGCUCUCAAAAGAAGGCCACCAGGUGGCUCUGCUGAGUGGGGAGAUGAUGGUGGAGCAGAGGGCUGCGGUGAUUGAGCGCUUCCGAGAGGGCAAAGAGAAGGUUUUGGUGACCACCAACGUGUGUGCCCGCGGUGAGCAGAGGACGUGUCCCACCUGGUCUGCUAGGCUCGGGGUCCCAGGCCCAAUUAGAGCCAGAAAUCCUUGUAUACAGGAAAGUCGGAUGGUCUCAGGGAGAUGGGUGGGGCUGGUGACACUAUUCCUUUCUAGGAGAGACUGUUUGGAUUUCCCUGAGGUGGUAAGAACUCACACAUGCCAGGUGCGGUGGCUCAUGCCUGCAAUCCCAAGGCAGGAAAAUUACUUGAACCCUGGAGACAGAGGUUGCAGUGAGCCGAGAAUGUGCUAUAGCACUCCAUCCUGGGUGACAGAGUGAGACUCUGUCUCCAAAAAAAAAAAGGAAGAGGGCAGGCCCAGUGGCUCACGCCUGUAAUCCCAGCACUUUGGGAGGCCGAGGUGGGCGAAUCACCUGAGGUCAGGAAUUCGAGACCAGCCUGACCAAUAUGGUGAAACCCCAUCUCUACUAAAAAUACAAAAAUUAGCCAGGCAUGGUGGCAUGCGCCUGUAAUCCCAGCUACUCAGGAGGCUGAGACAGGAGAAUCGCUUGAACCUGGGAGGUGGAGGUUACGGUGAGUGAGAUCGUGCCAUUGCACUCCAGCCUGGGCAACAAGAGCGAAACUCCGUCUCAAAAAUAAAAAAAGAAAGAAAGAAAAGGAACUCCCGCAGAAACCAGUAGUCCUGACUUGGUGGAAGGAAAUGUACAGGCAUCUGACUGGUAGAGAACAGAGCCUGCUCUUCCAGGGGCGCCCAUCUCCAGAACACUGUAUCUCCCAGAGGAUUACCUACUGAUUUCAUGAUUUUGUUGGCACUUGCCAAAGUUCUCUUCUUUUCCUCUGGGUUCUGUUGCCUGCCUAUAUGUGCCCUCUCUUGUACCCAUAGUUGGCCUGUCCCAAAUUCUUUCCCUCUAUCCCAAAGUUGGUACGCAUUGACCUACCUAUGGAUGACAGUGAUUUCUGUCUCCUGUCCUUAGUCCUCUCAGCCUCCAACUCUCCUUCCUGCAGGCAUCGAUGUUGAACAAGUGUCUGUCGUCAUCAACUUUGAUCUUCCCGUGGACAAGGACGGGAAUCCUGACAAUGAGACCUACCUGCACCGGAUCGGGCGCACGGGCCGCUUUGGCAAGAGGGGCCUGGCAGUGAACAUGGUGGACAGCAAGCACAGCAUGAACAUCCUGAACAGAAUCCAGGAGCAUUUUAAUAAGAAGAUAGAAAGAUUGGACACAGAUGAUUUGGACGAGAUUGAGAAAAUAGCCAACUGAGAAGCUCCACCAGCCACUGAUGCCAGCCCUGGCACUGCCCCUGCACAGGAGACAAGUGCAUUUAGGGCACAGGCCCCGACAUCACCCCAAGGACAACGGCAGGAGUAGAGAGAAACUACCUACCUCACUUCAAAUUAUGUUUGGACUUGACAAAAAUAGGUGCAAAUGAUGGGGGGCAAUAGAAGAAAAAAUUUGCAUUUUGGAGAAUUGGGUCCUUUCUCCACUUUUUUAAAGCCACAUUCCCCCAUCUUUAUAAUAAUCUGGUCACAGUGGUAGUCGCUGGCCCCAGGACCCCCUCCUGAUUUUGGGUAGGCAUCGUGGAACCAGCUCCAGCCCCUGAAGAAACGAUAGAUGUGCAGGUUGUGCAGAAGAGGCUGAGUGGAAAAUUGUGUGAGCCCCACCGCUGUGCAUCGAAUGAGGGAAGUGGCAGCAGAGAGGCCAAAGCUGCCCCCUCUCUGUCUCUCCAGUGGACCCUUCACAAGUGUUUCUCCUGCCCUUGGGGCCGUCUUCCUUCUCCUGAAAUCCAGAGACUUUCUUGCUCAUCCCUUCUCCCUUUCACUUCUGUUCUCUGCUGCAGAAAGCAGACUUGCAUAUCCCUGAUGCGCAGCUCGGCUACUUUUGUAAACUUCAGAUUUGGAGAGAAACACGAAAGUCAGUGAAUCCUGACCCCUUGAGAGAGAGUGAUCUGGCGAGGGCCGAUGAAGGGGCUGGGCCUGGUCUUGCCUUCUCUUCUCUCGGUGGCUCCCUCUGCUUAGGCCCCUGGUACUCAGUCACGGCAGCCAGGAGACCCCAGGUGAGUUUCUGAGCGCAUACGUAGUUGGUUCUUACCCCCAGGUGUCACACGGGGCCGAGAGCUGAGCAAGAAUUUGGAAUGGAAGUUAUGACCAAGGGAAUUAUGCUGUUCAUUUAUAAUAGUGGACAUUAUGGAGAGCUCUGAUUCCUACAUAAUAUGAAUAAGGAUGGAUAGGCCGGGCGUGGUGGCUCAUGCCUAUAAUCCCAGCACGUUGGGAGGCUGAGGCGGGCGGAUCGGUUGAGCUCAGGAGUUCGGGACCAGCCUGGCCAACGUGAUGAAACCCCGUCUCUACC